ACCAACAACAUGCUGAUCUGUUUCCCUGGUUUGGGGGGAGGGGGAGUGGGGCCCUCGGCUUCUUCACGUCCUGCUGGCCCAACACCCUGUAUCGAAGCACAGAGGUCCCACAUCUGUGUCACUGGCUUUUGAUCUUGGAAUGGAAAUUUAAGACUCUGUCCUGAGCAGAACCUCUCAUUGAUAAAUCAGAGACACAGCACGGAACAGACCAUCCAGCCCAACGAGCCGCCCAUGGAGCGUAGCGGUCAGCGGGACGCUAUUACAACGCGGGACAUCGCAGUUCAGAGUUCAAUUCCAGCGUUCCCCGUAGGGAGACUGUACAUCCUCACCGCGGAAUGUGUGGGUUUCCUCCCCCAGUCCAAAGACGUAGCUGCUUCAUUCCCAGCAGGACCAUGACUGGAAAUACACGGCCAAGGUCAUAAAGAACUAUCUUCAGCAGAGAGAAGAAUGAGGAGUUCUGCGAUUGAUGGCACGGUAUGGCCUCCACAGAGUCCUGUACACAUCAUCGAG